rnacentral:rRNA from 1 species
UGGGGAAUAUUGGACAAUGGGCGCAAGCCUGAUCCAGCCAUGCCGCGUGAGUGAUGAAGGCCCUAGGGUUGUAAAGCUCUUUCACCGGUGAAGAUAAUGACGGUAACCGGAGAAGAAGCCCCGGCUAACUUCGUGCCAGCAGCCGCGGUAAUACGAAGGGGGCUAGCGUUGUUCGGAUUUACUGGGCGUAAAGCGCACGUAGGCGGACUUUUAAGUCAGGGGUGAAAUCCCGGGGCUCAACCCCGGAACUGCCUUUGAUACUGGAAGUCUUGAGUAUGGUAGAGGGGAGUGGAAUUCCGGGUGUAGAGGUGAAAUUCGUAGAUAUUCGGAGGAACACCAGUGGCGAAGGCGGCUCACUGGACCGUUACUGACGCUGAGGUGCGAAAGCGUGGGGAGCAAACAGG